UUAAGUUCAGCGGGUUUUCUUGCUCGAUUUCAGACCAAGUAAUCAGAACACGCAUCAAAGUAGAGGCGCAUCCUGUGUAAUUGAUGGGGUGGAUGACCCGAUAUCACACGUCCGAGUCACAAGAGAAAUAGAAAUCUGUUGCUCUUGUGUUCCCGGCAUGGUUUACCGUGACACACACAAUCAAAUUAAAGCGGCUGCCC
rnacentral:misc_RNA from 1 species